AAGGGCCCACCAGGAGGGGAGCCGGCGGAUUAAUUUGACUCAACAGGGGAAAUCUCACCGGGCCCGGACACGGGAAGGAUUGACAGAUUGAGAGCUCUUUCUUGAUUCGAGGGGUGGGGGUGCAGGGCCGUUCUUAGUUGGGGGAGCGAUUUGUCUGGUUAAUUCCAAUAACAAACGAAACUCUGGCCUACUAAAUAGAUUAUUGCUCGUUUUGUGGGGAGUGACUGCUUACUAGAAUGACGGGCGGCGCGCCCCCUGACAACUAUGCAGUAUGAAAACCUGGAGAGCCUUUUACAUCAGGGGCUCCUGCCCACGCGCGACGAAAGGCGAAUCGUGGAGUCCUCCCCUUUCUGCUUAGGGGGGGUAACCCUCUGAACCUUCUUCGUGAUGGGGUUGGGGUUGUAAUUCCUCACCCUGAACCAGGAAUUCCCAGUUAGCGCGAGUCAUGAGAUUGCGUUGAUUACAUCCCUGCCCUUUGUACACACCGCCCGUCGCUACUACCGAUAGAGUGAUUUAGUG
rnacentral:rRNA from 1 species